AAACUGCGAUAAGUAGUGUGAAUUGCAUUUAGUGAAUCAUCGAAUCUUUGAACGCACCUUGCACUCACUGGUAUUCCGGUGAGUACGCCUGUUUCAGUAUCAUUGAAAACACACAAUCAAAACAUUUUCUUUGGUUUGAUUGGCUUUGGGUCUAUCAAAAAGUUUGGCUUGUUUCUUACAAGCCAAGCGGCCUGAAAUAUAUUGCCUGGCUAAUUGCAUCGUUGAUGAUCGCUAUUAGACUUUGGCUUUUUUAAAUGAACUGGAGGUUGAUUAACCAGUUUUAGCUUUAGUCAAAUGGUCAUUGUAAAAAAAAUCUCGAUCUUGGCUAGGUGUUUAUAGCCGAAAAUUUUUUUUUGGCUAUAACCGAAACCAAUAUAAUCACAUUUAGUUAUCGAUCUGAAAUCAGGUGGGACUACCCGCUGAACUUAAGC
rnacentral:misc_RNA from 1 species